UAACUUGAAUGUUGCGUUUGCUAAUUUG
rnacentral:sRNA from 1 species